rnacentral:rRNA from 1 species
ACGAACGCUGGCGGCGUGCUUAACACAUGCAAGUCGAACGAAGAGCGACGGAAGCUUGCUUCUAUCAAUCUUAGUGGCGAACGGUUGAGUAACGCGUAAUCAACCUUCCCUUCAGAGGGGGACAACAGUUGGAAACGACUGCUAAUACCGCAUACGUUCUAACCUCGGCAUCGAUGAUCGAUGAUAGGUUUCCUCUACAUGUAAGCUAUCACUGCAGGAGGGGUUUUCGUCUGAUUACCUAGUUGGAGGUGUAACGGCCCACCAAGGCGAUGAUCAGUAGCCGGUCUGAGAGGAUGAACGGCCAAAUUGGGAAGGAGACACGGCCCAGACGAAUACGGGAGGCAGCAGUGGGGAAUCAUCCGCAAUGGACGAAAGUCUGACGGAGCAACGCCGCGUGAGUGAGGAAGGCAUUCGGGUUGUAAAGCUCUGUUAAUCGGGAAGAAAGGCCUUCUUGCGAAUAGUGAGAAGGAUUGACGGUACCGGAAUAGAAAGCAACGGCUAACUACGUG